GAGUUUUGCUUGACCGAUAAACAAAUAACAAUUCGUAAUAUAAAUACAAACUAUACGUAUGUGUACAUAUGUAUGUAUUUAUAUUCUUUAAUAUUUUGUAUAAACAAAGUUGAGCACGUCAUGUUUAAAAGUAACUCAUUCGUGACUUGAUCUUAACCAUGAUCUGUGAUUGUUUCAUAAAUGAAAACUUUCAAAAUAUUCAAACGGCAUUAAGCGAUUAACAAAAUAGCAUGUUCUCCUUUAAUACAAUAGUCGGGUACACGUCAAUGCCAAGGGUCCUCAUUUAUAUCCCGCGAAGAUAAGUUGUGGUCCACGUGCACUCCAUUGUACCAGGCAAUUCCAGAUUCGAAAAAGAUUCUGCGAAAGAUUUGUAACAUUGUUACGAGGUUUUCUUUAUCCAACACAUUCUUUUAUACUGUGACUGAUGCCUUCAUGUUGAAAAUAAGAAUAGGAUAAAUGCUCGAUAACAUAUAAAUUACCUAUAUUUUGACGGUAGCAAAUAUUUUUUAAUAUAAUGUUCGAUAUUGCCGUUCCGACAGUUCGUAUACAUUGACAUUACAACCUCUUUACCUUGAUAUAAAUUCGAGCUCGAGAAGCUUUGAUCGGAACAAUGUUUUUACCAUUGAAAAAACUAUACCUGUUCAUAGACCUACAUAAAUAUGGAUGUGGAUAGGUACAUUUAUAUGUGUGUAUAUACAAACGUGCAUCUUCUUUUCCAUUAUCUCCCACUCGUUUUAUUGAAUUCACACGAUUGUAAGAGAUCGCAGCUUGCAUGAUAAAAGAGGAAACAUGCGCAUUUUGGAUUUCUCGCUGCUGACAUUGCAGCAGGCUGUCGAUUGGCAGACAUCCGCGUAUUUUGGCAAUCGUUUAUAUCAGGAAAACAAAACCGAAUAAAAAGUAAAAUAAAUAUAAAAGCAAAUGACUUAAAACCAAGUUUAUGACCAACAAUGAUCAUUAGUUACCCAACAGAAUUCUCUUUGACGACCAGUGAACUUCCGCAGACAAUCAACUCGGAGCCGCCAAUGAGAAGGUUCCAGCGAACGCAUUCUGGGUCAACAUAGCGUAUCGGUAGCUAACUCAUGUGGAGCCUUGGGUUCGGUUUAGUGGUGUCAGUCUGACUUACUCGGUCUCACAAUACACUGAAAUUAUCAAAGCCUUUCCAUGCUGAAGCUGAAAAUUAAUCUCGUUCUUGUCGCAAGAAGGACGCUGUUUUAAAAAUGUAAA